GGGUUGUGAGGUUAAGCGACUAAGCGUACACGGUGGAUGCCCUGGCAGUCAGCGGCGAUGAAGGACGUGCUAAUCU
rnacentral:rRNA from 1 species